CUCUGUAAUAUAUCUCUAUUACUUACUCCUUUGGCUUCCUCAACGAUGAAGCUAAGCCACAACCUAAAUUUACAAACAAACCCACCAAUCCAAACCAGAAUUCAUGAUCUUCAUCUUACACCAAAUAUUCCAACUUGUCAUCUCUUCAAACCUCCCAUUCAAAAUACGAGAUUCAAAUGCAUUACUGUAAAAGCUACAAACGACUCAAUUCCAUUACCAACCAUGUCUGAAAUACUAGAAUCAUCAAGAACACAAAAACUCAACCUUCAGCUCCAAACUCUAGGACCCUUUUUCAGAAUCACAGCAAGGAGUUUGGUAACUGAUAGAGAGCUUGGAAAAGCUGAAGGAUUGAUAAGAAUGUGGUUUGGAAAAGGAAAUAUUCUUCACUUGGAUUCUAUUAAACUACAAAGAGAAACACUUGGAAUGGAAAAAUCAAUCUUUGGACUUGGUUUGUAUAUUGGAGCUGUUGCUAUUCGUCAUGGAUAUGAUUCUGGUUGUCAAACUGCUCAGUUACUUGCUAUCAAUGAUUCUGAUCUUUACCAUUCUAAGUUGAUUAGGUUCUACACAAGACUUGGGUUUAAACCUGUGUACGAAGUUACUGGCUCAUCUGUUGGGGAUAUAACUCACAUGCUUGUCUGGGGAGGUGUUGGUACUCGCAUGGAUGCCAGUGUUGAAGAACUUAUGAUAAAAUGGUGUAAAAGAUUUAAAAAAACAAGUGUACGCAAAAUACCGAACUAGCAUUCAUUCACAUCCCAAAAUUACAAGUUACAACGAUCAACGAGAAGAACUAUUAUUGAUGUAUAGUUGUAUAUUCUUUCAUUUUUCAAUUGCUGAAUCGCGCAUAUAUAUAUUUACAGAUUCUCUGGCAAAACAGAAGAAAACUGAUCAAGAUUCUGAAGAUUCCAUUAUCAAAGCUGCAUAGUCUUCUGCUUCAUCACGUGUCACCGAAAGCUUAUUUAUUGAAGCGGUUAAUAAAAUCGUCUGCAUAAUAUGAUCAAUUAACACACUCUUAUAAUUAUGAUUAUCAAUUAUGAUAUGAACUGUAUGAAUACACCCCACUUGAAUUCAUUUUGGAGUUUGUCUUCGGAAAAUCCAAAUUAUCAACAUGAACAUGCAGAAUAUGACAAUUAAACACAGAUAAUUUAAAUGGUGUCACACUUAGAAUAGUG